rnacentral:rRNA from 1 species
AGCCCGGGGAAGACAAGUNNGGAAACGGCUGCUAAUACCGGAUGUGCCGAAAGGUGAAAGAUUUAUUGCCUAGAGAUGAGCUCGCGUCUGAUUAGCUAGUAGGUGUGGUAAGAGCGCACCUAGGCGACGAUCAGUAGCUGGUCUGAGAGGACGAUCAGCCACACUGGGACUGAGACACGGCCCAGACUCCUACGGGAGGCAGCAGUGGGGAAUUUUCCGCAAUGGGCGAAAGCCUGACGGAGCAAUACCGCGUGAGGGAGGAAGGCUCUUGGGUUGUAAACCUCUUUUCUCAAGGAAGAAUACAAUGACGGUACUUGAGGAAUAAGCAUCGGCUAACUCCGUGCCAGCAGCCGCGGUAAUACGGAGGAUGCAAGCGUUAUCCGGAAUGAUUGGGCGUAAAGCGUCCGCAAGGUGGCAAUGUAAGUCUGCUGUUAAAGAGUGAGGCUCACCCUCAUAAAAGCAGUGGAAACUACAUAGCUAGAGUACGUUCGGGGCNGAGGGAAUUCNGGNGUANNGGUAAANGCGUNGAGAUCAGGAAGAACNCCGGUNCGAAAGCGNNNUGCUAGGCUGUACUGACCU